UACGGGGGGGAGCAAGCGUUGUUCGGAUUUACUGGGCGUAAAGGGCGCGUAGGCGGCCUGUGCAAGUCAGUUGUGAAAUCUCCGGGCUUAACUCGGAAAGGUCAACUGAUACUGCUCGGCUAGAGUGCGGAAGGGGGCAACUGGAAUUCUUGGUGUAGCGGUGAAAUGCGUAGAUAUCAAGAGGAACACCUGCGGCGAAGGCGGGUUGCUGGGCCGACACUGACGCUGAGGCGCGAAAGCUAGGGGAGCGAACGGG
rnacentral:rRNA from 1 species